AGUGAACGCUGGCGGUAGGCCUAACACAUGCAAGUCGAACGGCAGCACAGUAAGAGCUUGCUCUUACGGGUGGCGAGUGGCGGACGGGUGAGGAAUACAUCGGAAUCUACUUUUUCGUGGGGGAUAACGUAGGGAAACCUACGCUAAUACCGCAUACGACCUACCGGUGAAAGCAGUGGAUCUUCGGACCUUGCGCGAUUGAAUGAGCCGAUGUCGGAUUAGCUAGUUGGCGGGGUAAAGGCCCACCCAGGCGACGAUCCGUAGCUGGUCUGAGAGGAUGGUCAGCCACACUGGAACUGGGACACGGUCCAGACUCCUACGGGAGGCAGCAGUGGGGAAUAUUGGACAAUGGGCGCAAGCCUGAUCCAGCCAUACCGCGUGGGUGAAGGAGGCCUUCGGGUUGUAAAGCCCUUUUGUUGGGAAAGAAAAGCAGCAGGUUAAUACCCCGCUGUUCUGACGGUACCCAAAGAAUAAGCACCGGCUAACUUCGUG
rnacentral:rRNA from 1 species